rnacentral:misc_RNA from 1 species
AGUUGAGUUGAGUUGAGUAUUAUUCCAAAAAACUAUACUAACCAUGAAAAGAAUAAAAAAUAAAAGUUGGCGCUCUUUUAAUUCUAUAAUAUAAUAAUAUUGAAAAAGAAUUAUAAAAUACAUAUGAUCUAAGAUGUGUUUCCUAAUUAAAACUUAAGAAAAUAAUAAAAUAGUUAGAAAAAGAUAGUGGCUGAAUUUAAAAGUCAAAGGAUGGCACUCCAUGGGUCUGUAAAGUAUACAUGAUUAACUAGUUAGCCUUGGAGUAUAUAUAUAUUUUUUUUAUUUUAAAUUAAAAAGGGAAACGGAAAAGUAAAGAGCAAGAACUUCUACCUUACUGUUGCUACUUGCUAAUUUCUAUUAUCUCUGAGUCUACCUCUGCUUGAGAGAACAUGGGAGGAAAUUGUAGAAAAAAUGGCAGGAUAGAGAUGCAUGCAGCUGUCAAUUGGCUUCAAAGUGUGUUGGUUGUGAUACUUUUGGGAUUUUUUAUUUUUAAAUAUUUAUACCCCGGGGACAUUUUUGUUGUUUGAUUUUCUUUAGAAUUCGACUUCUACCCUUUACAAAAAAAAAUCUUGAAUGACGGUGUUGUUGUUUGGGUUUUUUCCUGUUAAGUUACCCUCAAAGCCAAAAACGAAGAAUCAGUAGAAUGGAGCUGUUCAUAUUGAUUCGCAUGAUUUAUCAUCGAUUCACCUGAUUCGUACGCGAUUCUAUAUGUUUUUGAUUCACUAUAUAGAUUUGAAUUGUUAGACCUUACUGUCGACUUGAAUCAUACUACUCGAAUCGUGAAUCAUACAAUUUUGACAACACUGGAAUUGUGUGUUAAAUUCUAUAGUAGUAAUUUUGGAAGAGCUGAACUUGAGAUAUUUCUUAUUAGUCAAACACUAGGUUCAUCACUUAUUUAAUAAGAACUGAUCUAAAAAUUCCCAUUAGACUAUGUUUAGAAACACUAAAAACUGCUAAAAUUAAAAUAUGCAAAAUAGUAAAAAUCAAAAUAUGUAAACUUCUCUAUCAUCCAAUUCUCUUAUCUCAUUCUGGCUAUUUUUACUAACAGGGUAUCUGUAUUUUGGUAUGCUUCAUCUCUCAUGUGCACGCCACUCGUAAACGUAAUAUCAUAUUAGUACCUGUACCAUUACCAUAUCCUCCUUUUCUCUUUAACCACGUUGGAUAAUGAGCUUUCUUGUAAAUGGGAAUUAAGUAUUGGGUUUUGUCUAAAUUUUGUUAUAAAGUAAUUUUUAUUUUUUGUUCAGGUUUUAUAAAUUUUACUUGUAGGGUAUGCUUGCUGAUGGAGUUUACAUAACUUUAUGGAUUUCUUUAAUUUUUUUUUUACAGCUUGAGAA